UUGGGCAAGUGGGGGGCUUUGUGGUGGUUUCCAGGUGUUAUCCUGGAGUUAACCCUUUGCUGCCUGUGGUUUUCAUCAGUGGUCAUUCUUUGACUCCUUCAACUUUGGCUCCUUUCGAAGUUAGUAGUGAAGCAGGGGGCUGGUGGAAGCCGUCCCUGGCUCUCUCUUCUUCAGGUCUCCCUGUGGUUUCGUUAGAACCGAUUUCCCUUUCUGUGUGAACUACCUGCAGUGUAUUUUUCUGGCUGUUCCGUGACUGCUACUGAAAAGCGUUUGUAUGUGCAAAGAUGUCUGUGCGUGAGAGGGAGUGUGAAAAUUCAGAGUUUUUGAAAAGCCCAAAGCCCGAAGUGGGCUUGGGAAGAAUACCACGUGCUGUAAAUGUUGCCUCAAUAAAGCGGUUAUUUGGGGACCGAGUCUGAUGGAAUUUCUGGGCAGUGGCUGUUUGAUUUAAGAGAGGAUAUUUAGUAUUGUAACAUACUAUUAUCUUCAGAAUGCUAAGAAACCAAAACAAAACAAUCCAAGAUACUAUUUUGUUAAUGUGAAUUCCUUGAAGUGGAGCUCAAUGAAAUCUUGGUUGGUGGCGGUACUUGGAAGACAGGAGUGAUUCUUAAGGAUUCGAAGGAGAGAGGCCUGAGCCCCCCAGAGGGAGGAGCUUCAGGUUCUCCACUGGGCUUGGGCUGCUCCCUCACCUUUGUGGGUCUAUGCUCAAAUGUUAUCUUGUCAGUGAAGUUCUCUAUGAGUGAACGCCGUUUCAAACCACCUUCACCUCCACCCUUCUGAGCCUUGCCUUUUCCCCAUUUCUGCUUCCUUGCUCCCUUUUUCAUCAUGGUGCAAGGUGUCUGACAGACUGUAUCUUACAGUGCAGAACCGGCUUGGGAUUCUCUCUCUCCACUGACCCCCAUAAAGGCAGACAGGUUUGUCUGUGGUGUUCACGGCUCUACCCUCAGUGCCCGAACUCUCCUCGGCACCUACUCGACACUCAAGAGGUAGUUGUUGAACAAGCGAGUCUCAUUACCCACACGUAACCACAGUCUUUUCCACUUAGCCUGAAGGAGUGCAUCUCAAUGGAAAAUAAAAUGAAGAUGCACACGUUUUUCUCCAGGAUUUGAGGCUGCGACAGCCUCAGAAGCCACGGAUUAUACCUCUGCUCCUCCAGCUCCCUGGUUGCAGAGACCAUGACAGGGACCCCUUCUGUUCUUUCCUGUCCCUUCUCCUCUGUGCUGAGACGACAACUUCAGUACAAAUAUAGUACGGCUGUCACGCCUGCUGGGAACAGGCACGUAUCACAUUAAUUAAGUUGUUUUUUCAGCCUUAGCCUUUGUCAAGUGGUAUUGGGUGGCUCUGAUUUAGUGGUAAAGACAAAUCAUACUCAGAAGUCUUAAAUCUUGGGGCGCCUGGGUGGCUCGGUCGGUUAAGCGUCCGACUUUGGCUCAGGUCAUGAUCUCACGGUCCGUGAGUUCGAGCCCCGCGUCGGGCUCUGUGCUG